UACGAAGGGGGCUAGCGUUGCUCGGAAUGACUGGGCGUAAAGGGCGCGUAGGCGGAUGGCACAGUCAGAUGUGAAAUUCCCGGGCUUAACCUGGGGGCUGCAUUUGAUACGUGUUGUCUUGAGUUCGGAAGAGGGUCGUGGAAUUCCCAGUGUAGAGGUGAAAUUCGUAGAUAUUGGGAAGAACACCGGUGGCGAAGGCGGCUCACUGGUCCGGUACUGACGCUGAGGAGCGAAAGCGUGGGGAGCGAACAGG
rnacentral:rRNA from 1 species